rnacentral:snRNA from 1 species
AUGCACGAUGGCUAACCUAUAACGAACAUGGUUCUUGCCUUUUACCAGAACCAUCCGGGUAUUGUCUUUUCCAGGUGCGAGUUUUGCAGUGCUGUGUAUUUUUUGGAAACUUUGCCUAUGUU